rnacentral:rRNA from 1 species
GCCUACGGGGCGCAGCAGUGAGGAAUAUUGGUCAAUGGCCGAGAGGCUGAACCAGCCAAGUCGCGUGAGGGAUGACGGCCCUACGGGUUGUAAACUUCUUUUGUCGGGGAACAAAGGCGGAGACGCGUCUCCGGAUGAGUGUACCCGAAGAAAAAGCAUCGGCUAACUCCGUGCCAGCAGCCGCGGUAAUACGGAGGAUGCGAGCGUUAUCCGGAUUUAUUGGGUUUAAAGGGUGCGCAGGCUGGCGAUCAAGUCAGCGGUAACAUGUCGGGGCU